rfam:Operophtera brumata OBRT01_Sc03513, whole genome shotgun sequence.
UGCAAGGGCACUCUGUGUUAUUCAUUUUUAAUAUGAUAAUUACAAUUUGUAACCUUGCUAAAGUAAAUCUACCAAAUCCUAUUCUAAAUAGCUUGCGUUUCGCUAUUUGGUCAUAUUGGUAGAUACAUAAC